rnacentral:rRNA from 1 species
CCAGACUCCUACGGGAGGCAGCAGUGAGGAAUAUUGGUCAAUGGGCGGGAGCCUGAACCAGCCAAGCCGCGUGAGGGAAGAAGGUACAGCGUAUCGUAAACCUCUUUUGUCAGGGAACAAAGGCGGGGACUAGUCCCCGGAUGAGGGUACCUGAAGAAAAAGCAUCGGCUAACUCCGUGCCAGCAGCCGCGGUAAUACGGAGGAUGCGAGCGUUAUCCGGAUUUAUUGGGUUUAAAGGGUGCGCAGGCGGCGUUUUAAGUCUGCGGUAAAAGCGCGGGGCUCAACCCCGGCGAGCCGUUGAAACUGGCGGGCUGGAGUUGGAGAGAAGUAUGCGGAAUGCGCUGUGUAGCGGUGAAAUGCAUAGAUAUCGCGCAGAACUCCGAUUGCGAAGGCAGCAUGCCGGCUCCACACUGACGCUGAGGCAUGAAAGCGUGGGUAUCGAACAGGAUUAGAUACCCUAGUAA